CCCUUAGAUGUUCUGGGCCGCACGCGUGCUACACUGAGUGGAUCAGCGGGUCAGGUUGCGCGAAAGUGUUUCCUAUCUUUAAAUCCGCUCGUGAUGGGGAUUGACGGUUGCAAUUUUCCGUCAUGAACGAGGAAUACCUUGUAAGCGCGGGUCAUCAUCCCGCGCUGAAUACGUCCCUGCCCUUUGUACACACCGCCCGUCGCUCCUACCGAUUGAGUGGUCCGGUGAGGCUUUGGGAUCUGAGCGGAAAGAGCGUUUCGCUGUUUCUGCCCGGAAAACUCAGUCGAACCUUAUCAUUUAGAGGAAGGAGAAGUCGUAACA
rnacentral:rRNA from 1 species